UGUGACAAUGUUUUUGGGGCAAGAAUGCCCUUGCUGUGGGAUGGGCAGAGAUUACAAGUACCCUCCUCUUGCUGAGCUGCUGAUUUCUUCUGCCAGCAGUAUGAUGUUCCCCCAACUGUAUUGUUCAAAGGGGUAGCAAAGGCAACCAGCAUGAGGCAGUGCCAGCCAGGCUGAGCCCCAGCAGUACAGGAGGGACCCCAAGACAUGUCCAGCCCCUCCUUCACCCCAUCCUUUGCUCCAUCCUUUCCCCACCCUGGCUGCAAGCAUGGCUUGGCCGCGUGUUGCAGUUAUCACCAGUGACAUCCUGCCACUGUGUGUGUAGAGUCCCCCCUGCAGAGGCACAAGUCCCCUCUUGGUGUGUGUGUGCUGCUGUAGCUGUGCCCGUCAACCGGCACAGACUGGCAGCAGCUCUGCUCCUUUCUGUUUCCUUUUCGAUCCCUCUCUUCUUUAUGGUGAACGACUUUGUGCUUUGCAGACAAGCUCAUUAGGACCUCCACAGACUUGAAGCUGCUGUGCCACAGGAAGGAGGGUCGCCCCCAGCUUGCAGCCCCUCAGCUAUGUGUGAUUGAGAUGUCUCGCCAGUGACAGCCAGGCAGGAGGGAAUCGCGGUGCAGCUCUGACUGAGCCACGGCUCUUGUGUGCAUGUUCAUGGGCUGCUUCUGCCCAAACUGUCCCUCUGCAAAGGCAGGGGGAGAGGUUGGGGUCAGAGCCACUCUGCCACUGAGGGGGUCAUGAGGGCUGGGGAGGCCAGAAGCUGGUGGUGGGCUGGAGGAGGAGGAGGUGUGCCCCUCGGGAAUGGUGAUCAUGGGGUUAUAGGCUCCUAGAUGGAGCAUGGCCAGCUGCUUGUUCUAAGAACAGGUCCCUGCUGCCAGAACUGUCUGAAAUAGUGUUCUGAUCCUGGCUGCUGCUUUGCUGACUGUGAAGGAAUGCUCUGAUCUCACUUUGUCCUCAUGUUCCAUCCCAGAGAAACAGCCCCACUGCCAAGCAUGGUCCAGCUCAUGGGCAAGAUGGGUAAAAAUCUUAUCAUUUCACUGGUUGGUGCAAGGGAGGCUUUUUGCAGGGAGGGAAACACCGCCUUACAGGGAGUCCAUGGGAUGUGCCUGGGGAUCUCCCAGCAGUUCCACUAACUGGAGGGCAAUGACCUGGCCUCUUGUUUUCCAUCCACAUAAGGGUUAGGAGAGAUUAAGAACAUGAAUAUCAAGAGCUUGUUAAGAAGGGUUAAAGAGCCCCGGGUAAGGGAAGGGGCAGAGAAGACUCCUACAGAACACAUCUGUGGCUAGGACUUUGGGGGCAAGAAUAUUUCUAGGGUAUUUUCCUUUGGGUAAAACUGCCUGUAAAAUCCAAGUCUCAGCAACAUUCACGACAAACCCAGCCAACACCUCCCUGGGCACGUCCACAUCUCACCCUGACAAGCUCUAUGCUGCUGGAGGGAUGCUCAGCCACCACAGUGUCAUGUCUGUGGAGGGAUCUGAGGGCUGGAGCCCUCACAUACAGGAGCAGCUAUGGUGUCAUACCAAAGGAUUUGUCCCCUGGAUUCUAUGCACCAUCUGGAGCCGUUGUGGCAUCACUGCAUCCUGCAGCAGCAUGGUGCCCAGUGGGGGCAUGGCUGAAGCUCUCCCUUUCAUGGACUUGGAGCAAGCCUGAAGUCAGUUCAUACCCUCCGCUGGGGUUUUUAGAGCUCUGAGAAGAAGCUGGUGCAGUUGCUUUGCUGCCCUCUCAGCUGAUAGUCCCCAGAAGGUGCUCGGACAAAUGGGGUCACUUAAGGAAGCACUCAGAUGAUGGUCUCAGGAGACUCUGUGUCCCUUCCCUGAUGAUUUUCUGGCCAAGAGAACCCAAGCUCUGGAGACAACAGCAUGAGGCAGGGUUGAGCUGCUUCUGCGUUUGUCCUGGGAACGGUUGGGAACAUGUCUCCUGUAGCUCUUCCAUUGCUUUCUGGAGCUGUCCCUGACCCCGCAUACAGCACUGCUGCUCUCCCAGCACACACAGCAAACUCCCCGAGCUGCUUCCCAAAGUGCAGCCAGGCUCAUUCCUGAUUCCCAGGCCCCAUCCCUGCCUGUGAGCAUCUGGGAGCCAAGGCUGUGCUGCCAUCGUCCCUUCCUUGAAUGCCGACUGUACAAACCCACUGCUGCUUCCCACUGUCAUUAAAAUAGAUGGGCAUGCUGCGCUCAGCUCCCUCGGCAGCAGUGGUGGAAAACAACUUGGAUUUCACUGUCUCAGGGGCAACCUUUCAGCAGGAACAUGCAGGGACUCGGUCUGGGGGGACAUUGCUGGCGCUUGAGCCAGAAUCGAGUGCUGAGGAAGACAGUGAACGGUCAUCACAGAUAGCCACCUCCGUAGGCAGUCACUGGCUCAGUUUGGAUUGAAGGCAAAUGGCCCAGAACUUUGAUUGACCAGCCCAAACUAUGUGGUGUGCUACCCGGGGGAAAGAGCCCGGUCUGAGUCCUCCCAUCCUGUGGCAUAAGCAGGUAGCCUGUGUCCCUGCCAUGGCACUCAUUACCCUGACCAGCAGCAGAGCCCCAGCUCGCAUGGCUAUGGGGUCCCCAGCCCCAAGCCAUCCUGCUGGAGCUGUGCCCACCAGGGCCAGGCUCUCAUGGAUUUCCUAACCCUCUGCUUCCCCUCCUACAUUCACUUCCCUUGUAUUGUUCUGGACAAAGCUAAAAGGAAACGCUCGCAGACCAGCCAUCACGUGAAAACUUCAUCCUCCAAAUCAAUUCCUGACUCUAGCAGCAUCGGGCCUCUCCAGAGGUAGGAUGGGGAGCACACUCUGCAAAUGUCAUUAUGCAGUGGCCUCCUCUGACUGCUGAGAGAUGGGGAUUGUGCUUGCAGCUUCCUUCAUGCAGCCAGGCAGUGAUGGCAUUACAGGAUUUCAAAAGUGGGCCUCUGUGACUGGACGUGGUGAAAUAAUAGAGAAAAGAAGCGUGAGGGACUCUGCUGAACUUUUGCCCCUGCAUGAAAUAAUAAGGUUGUAUUUACCCAGCAUCUGGAUCUCUGAAAAUAACCUGCUAAAUUUAGCUGUUGUUGAUAUGUUGUCACAGCUGAGCUAUUCUUCUUCUCUCUUUACAUGAAAAUCUCUUGUGCUGGUUC